rnacentral:rRNA from 1 species
UACGUAGGGUGCAAGCGUUAAUCGGAAUUACUGGGCGUAAAGCAUGCGCAGGCGGUUAUGCAAGACAGAUGUGAAAUCCCCGGGCUCAACCUGGGAACUGCAUUUGUGACUGCAUGGCUAGAGUACGGUAGAGGGGGAUGGAAUUCCGCGUGUAGCAGUGAAAUGCGUAGAUAUGCGGAGGAACACCGAUGGCGAAGGCAAUCCCCUGGACCUGUACUGACGCUCAUGCACGAAAGCGUGGGGAGCAAACAGG